rnacentral:misc_RNA from 1 species
CUCCUUGAGCGUAUUGUGGGUUUCCUGUGUUGAAUACCAAUUUGAUGGUAUUGUUUUGGCUGAUUGAAGUCUAUUUUCAUCUUUUGUUGCUUUUGUAAUUCAAGAUGAACUAUGAAGUGGUCUCUACGUUCCACUAUGUUGAUGCAAAUGCAUUGAUGUUGUGGCACAUUGAGWGUUACUAGGUGUCCUGGAUAUGGAAUAUUAUGUGGGCAUGGGGUCUCUCAUGGCUCUUGUUUUGUCCUUGUUUAGUGUUCUUCGAAAUGACAGUUCAUGCGUGCCUAGGCUUGUACUUGUACGAUGAUCUUUGUCAAAGAGGAUUGCUACCUGGUUGAUCCUGCCAGU